GGAUACGGCCAUACUGCGCAGAAAGCACCGCUUCCCAUCCGAACAGCGAAGUUAAGCUGCGCCAGGCGGUGUUAGUACUGGGGUGGGCGACCACCCGGGAAUCCACCGUGCCGUAUCCU
rnacentral:rRNA from 14 species